AAAAUGCAAAAUAAAUUAAGUAAUGCGAAACAACCAUUUUCUCAAAAAACUUAAGCCGGUGAAAAAAUGAUGCUUUUAUAUUUUUAUAUUUAACAAAAUAUAGGACGCAUAAAAUGCAAAUUGAAACAUUUGAUAUUAUAUGUAAAAUUACAGAGUUUUAUUUGUUUGUUUGUUUGUUUUUUUUAUUUGUGAAGGUUUGUAGAUCUAAUUUUAAAAUUCAUUGAGCAAAUGCAUCUUUAGAAGAAAAAAUAUAGUGGCACUUCUCCCACCACAUUUUUAUUCUACAAAAAAAAUUCGAAAAUUUCAAAUUAAAACAUUUUUAUUUUAUUUCUUUGAGUAACAUAUAUUCUCUGUUUAAAUGCAUAAAUAUCUUGUCCCGCAUAUUUUUCAAUUUAUUUAAAAAAUUUAUAUUAUUUAGUAGAUAAGAAAGGAGUGUGAUUCAAUAUCUAUAAUAGAAUGUUUUACGCUCCAAGCUUAAGUCAUUUUUUUUUCAAGUAAAAUAAAUUAUUUCUAGAUGAAAUAUAGAGUCCUAUUAAACAACGAAUGCCAAAUUUUUUUUAGUGUCUCUAAUCAUGCGAAAAUAUUUUAUACUGAAUAAAUUACCAUUGAAUAACUUUUUUUGAAAUUCACUGCAAUCUAAAUAAGUUCUUGCCUUUCUUAUUUACCUAUCUUAAAAGACUAAUAUUAAAAAUACCUUUUUAAUGUUUCAAAUUAUUUUAAAUAUAUCUCUAGAGUUAAAUUUUAUUAGUGAAUUGUUAAAAACAGUCGUUAUCUUUGUAAAAUUAUUAUUUUGUAUUUUCAAAUAUAUUUUUUUACUGUCACAAGCUUUUCUUAUUUGUCCUUAAAUUAGGGGUAUAAGAAGUAUUUUAAUUUUUUGCCUUUACAAAUAUACUCUUAUACCGUCGCUAACUUUUCAAAAAAAAAUAUUUUGAUUUUUUUUUUACUUUGGUAGAAAUUUAAUCCGAAAUAACUUAAUAUGUAUUAAUAGUGGGGUUAUUUUUAAUAAUGAAAAAAAUAUAGGGGGUAUAUUUGAAAUAAAAAAUUAAGAAUAUAUAAGAUAUUUUAGAAAUUUUGGAGGGUAUGUUUAAUGUUUUAGAUAUUAUUACUAAAAUUUUAGAUAUUUUUAUUUGUUGUUGAUGGAAAUUGAA
rnacentral:lncRNA from 1 species